rnacentral:lncRNA from 1 species
UUCUUAAAUGCUCUUUAAAACUAUCAUAAUAAAUGUUUUUUAUACUUCAACUCCUUUUCAGUUUUUUUGCUCUACCAUUGUUGUUAAGAAUUUUUAAAUCUAAUUGCAGGCUCAGUAGAAGAUCUGACACGCUGUGUUCAAGAAGAGUUGAAUAGGUCAAAGCAGUUGGAUGAUACGUUGAUCACCAGCCUUACGCCAACCAAACAUUGCGCGCCACAAGCAUCAUCAGAAUCCCAUGCUAUGCUGAUGGAGUCCGUAUUGAAUUAUCAGGUCCAGAUUCAAAAUCUGGAAACGCUCCUGAAUGAGGAACGGAAGAAGGUUAAAGAUCUGCAGCUUAAGCUGGAUAUUGUCGAACAGGUAUCGACGAAUAUAACAACGUAUCAGGAUGAUCGAUUAGUCAAUAUGACCGUUGAAUUGUCCACGUUUAAAGAAAAAGUUCCGUUCUUAGAACUAGAGUUGCUGGAGAGUCAAACGCAAGUCAAACAGUUACAAACCGAUUUGUUGGCAAGGAAGAGGUUAUGUUUUCAACUACAGCAAGAGACAGCGCUUUUGGUAGAGAGUCAUCAGAAGGAGCUGAAUAAAAUUCUAGAUGCCAAAGUUCAUUUUGAGCUUUUAUAUCAGAAAGAGAAAGCAAAGUGCGAGGAGCUACAAGCUCAAAUCAAGUCUUCAAAACCAGUACAACAAGACUCGAUGAAUGAACAACAUCUCAAGGAAAAACUGAAUGAAGAACAAGAGAGAUGUAUCAAGCUGGAAGUGGAGCUGGACCAGCAUAAACGGUAUCUAACAGUUCUGAAAAGCAUCAUGGAAAAGGAGGCAUCAAAAUCAAAUACAUUGGAAAAAGAUUUGGAUACUCUAAACAGCGUAAAACAAGCCCUGGAGCGGCAGGUUGUGGAGCUUGACUGCCUGAACAGAACUGAGAAGAAAAAGAAUCAAAGUCUAGAAGCUAAAAUCAAAGCUGUCGAAGAGGCAGAUAUCAGACGACAAAAGCGAAGACUUCAAGUCGAACAAACUCAUAAAUUAGCCCUCCAGCGAGCAUCAAAUGUUCAGAAAGAAUUGGUGGAGGAAUGUGACCGACUAAGAAAGGAGUUAAUUUUGCCAACGAACUGA